rnacentral:rRNA from 1 species
UAGGGAAUCUUCCACAAUGGACGCAAGUCUGAUGGAGCAACGCCGCGUGAGUGAAGAAGGGUUUCGGCUCGUAAAGCUCUGUUGUUAAAGAAGAACGUGGGUGAGAGUAACUGUUCACCCAGUGACGGUAUUUAACCAGAAAGCCACGGCUAACUACGUGCCAG